CUUGUCAAAUUUUUAAAGUCCAUUCUAUUUUUAAAAAUACUAUUAAUGGAAAUUUUACUAUAAUUAUCUUUAAGUUUAUUUUUAUAUUUCAUUAAUUACUUAUUGUUUAUUAUAUAUUUAUAUAUGAUUUAUUAAUAUCAAUAAUAAUUGAUUGGCCUUGAAAAUAAACAAAAACAAUGCCAGUAUUUAUGUUUCUCGAUCCAUUAACGAAUAUUUUUUGGGAAGACCGAACAAACCAAUUUCACUUUCCAAAGCUAACAAAACCUUAUCAUCUCCCACAGUCUCUUCGUAUUCAAUUUGUGUUUCUCAAUAAUACAUCCAUAAGCGAAUCAUUUGGGGGAAGACAAGCAAAUAAGUUGGCUCACUUCCAGAUUUCAAAUUAGUUUCUCAAUACAAACCCUAGAAUUCUACCCGUGAACACAAACAAUUACACUGUUGGUUAACUUUCAAAAGGGUUUCUCAAUGCAAACCCUUAAAUUUUAAUUUCUCUUCUUCCAAUCCAGAUUCAUUUCAUCAUCAAGUCAUCUCUUCAAUUUUUCAGGUUUUUUGAAUGGUCGCCGAAAGACAAUACUUUGUUAAGAAAAUCACUCCUGCAAAGAAACCCUGGGACAUUGUUGUUCGAGUUAUUAGUUUAUGGUUUAUACCGGAUAUGAAUGCUAAACAAAAAAAAAUUUACGAUGGCUCUAUUGGAAGAUAAGCCUACGUGGAUAACACAGUGCCCUAUACUACUGCUCGACACUCGAAUACCGUACGGAAGUCUAUCAGUUGGCUACGAAGAGCAUCUAGAUCCGGUUGGAACUCAAUCGUUAUAUGAUGAAGGAGAAGCUGAUAUAGUUUUGCAGCAUGUCUUUUCCUUAAUUUAUGUUUUGGUAAUUAAAUUUGACUCUGUUGAUUGUAAUUGAUACAGAUAUUAUUGCAUUCCAUUUGAUAUUGUGGUAGUUUUGCAAUGCAAAUUGUUGUCUUUCAAAGUUUCGAAAUCUUGCGACUUCACUUAUUUGUCAUUUGUGUUUGUUGGCAGUAGAUUCUUCUUAUUUGAAUCUGAAAAAUUCAGGUGUUUGAGGGACAUGCUUAAUGGGCUUCCAGAAGCUGAUGGUACAUAAGUUUUCACAAUUCAUAGCUUUCAAGGUUAGGAAGCUGAUGCUGUAACUUUAUCUAUGGUACGAUCAAACACAUUGGGAGCUGUUUGAUUCCUCAGCGAUAGCAGAAGAAUUAAUGUUGCCAUCACAAGAGCGCGCAAACAUUUAGAUAUAGUAUGUGACAAUUCAACUAUAUGCCACAUUAUGUUUCUAGCAAGGCUGAUGCGCCAUAUCUGACACUUUGGUAGGGUGAAACAUAUUGAAACAUAUAGUUUUGGAGGAGGAUUUGGGCUUGGGAUGAAUUUGAUAUUAUCUUUUAUUGAUUAGUGUUGCAUUUGUAACAGUGGAAUGGAACAAACUUAGAUAUACCUCUAAAUAAUUGUUUGAGGAUAUUUAUAUUUUUUUGGAGUAUUUAUUAGGCUGAUUUAUACUGUCAAUAAUUGUAUAGAUACUUAUAAAUUCAAAAUGACAAUAAUUGUAUAUAUACUCAUAAAUUCAAAAUGUG